rnacentral:rRNA from 1 species
CUUUCGGGGGUGCUCGAGUGGCGAACGGGUGAGUAACACGUGGGUGAUCUGCCCUGCACUUUGGGAUAAGCCUGGGAAACUGGGUCUAAUACCGAAUAGGACCAUGGGAUGCAUGUCUUGUGGUGGAAAGCUUUUGCGGUGUGGGAUGGGCCCGCGGCCUAUCAGCUUGUUGGUGGGGUGAUGGCCUACCAAGGCGACGACGGGUAGCCGGCCUGAGAGGGUGUCCGGCCACACUGGGACUGAGAUACGGCCCAGACUCCUACGGGAGGCAGCAGUGGGGAAUAUUGCACAAUGGGCGCAAGCCUGAUGCAGCGACGCCGCGUGGGGGAUGACGGCCUUCGGGUUGUAAACCCCUUUCAGUACCGACGAAGCGUAAGUGACGGUAGGUACAGAAGAAGCACCGGCCAACUACGUGCCAGCAGCCGCGGUAAUACGUAGGGUGCGAGCGUUGUCCGGAAUUACUGGGCGUAAAGAGCUCGUAGGUGGUUUGUCGCGUUGUCCGUGAAAACUCACAACUCAAUUGUGGGCGUGCGGGCGAUACGGGCAGACUGGAGUACUGCAGGGGAGACUGGAAUUCCUGGUGUAGCGGUGGAAUGCGCAGAUAUCAGGAGGAACACCGGUGGCGAAGGCGGGUCUCUGGGCAGUAACUGACGCUGAGGAGCGAAAGCGUGGGGAGCGAACAGGAUUAGAUACCCUGGUAGUCCACGCCGUAAACGGUGGGUACUAGGUGUGGGUUUCCUUCCUUGGGAUCCGUGCCGUAGCUAACGCAUUAAGUACCCCGCCUGGGGAGUACGGCCGCAAGGCUAAAACUCAAAGGAAUUGACGGGGGCCCGCACAAGCGGCGGAGCAUGUGGAUUAAUUCGAUGCAACGCGAAGAACCUUACCUGGGUUUGACAUGCACAGGACGCGUCUAGAGAUAGGCGUUCCCUUGUGGCCUGUGUGCAGGUGGUGCAUGGCUGUCGUCAGCUCGUGUCGUGAGAUGUUGGGUUAAGUCCCGCAACGAGCGCAACCCUUGUCUCAUGUUGCCAGCGCGUUAUGGCGGGGACUCGUGAGAGACUGCCGGGGUCAACUCGGAGGAAGGUGGGGAUGACGUCAAGUCAUCAUGCCCCUUAUGUCCAGGGCUUCACACAUGCUACAAUGGCCGGUACAAAGGGCUGCGAUGCCGUGAGGUGGAGCGAAUCCUUUCAAAGCCGGUCUCAGUUCGGAUCGGGGUCUGCAACUCGACCCCGUGAAGUCGGAGUCGCUAGUAAUCGCAGAUCAGCAACGCUGCGGUGAAUACGUUCCCGGGCCUUGUACACACCGCCCGUCACGUCAUGAAAGUCGGUAACACCCGAAGCCGGUGGCCUAACCCCUUGUGGGAGGGAGCCGUCGAAGGUGGGAUCGGCGAUUGGGACGAAGUCGUAACAAGGUAGCCGUACCGGAAGGUGCGGCUGGAUCACCUCCUUUCUAAGGAGCACCACGAGACCUGAGCCCGCCCACAUCGUGUGGGAGUUCGGUGACUUCAGGCGAUUCGUUGGAUGGCCUUCACCUGUAGUGGGUGGGGGUCUGGUGCACGACAAACGUUGAGCCGGUACGGGUUUCGAGUGAUCGAGCCGGUGAUGGAUUGCCAGACACACUAUUGGGCUUUGAGGCAACAGGCCCGCUAUCUCUUUGUCCCGUUGUGGGAAACCGGGGGUAGGGAGUUGGUUGUCGCCCCGUCUUUGGUGGUGGGGUGUGGUGUUUGAUUUGUGGAUAGUGGUUGCGAGUAUCUGGCAGAAGGGCCCUGGUGGGGUUCUUUUGUUGGGUAAUGCAAUUUUUGAUUCUUCCGAGAAUUUUUAACUGUUUUGUGUGUAAGUGUUUAAGGGCGCAUGGUGGAUGCCUUGGCACUAGGAGCCGAUGAAGGACGUGGGAGGCUGCGUUAUGCCUCGGGGAGCUGCCAACCGAGCGUGGAUCCGAGGAUGUCCGAAUGGGGAAACCCGGC